CUUAGAUGUGUCUUGCUCAACCGUUUGAUAUGAUAUUAUAUCCCAUCUGGGUGGUAAGCAAGAAACAGAUGUAUGAGAAAGAAUAACCACUAUAUUUUUAAAGUUCAAGCUUAAGGCAGUAUCUUUUUAAUAAGAUAAAGAUUUAUUUAACUACAGCUUUCUUUGGCUUUUACUUAUUUUGUCAUCAACAAUACUUCUGAAUUGAAGAAAAUAGGAGGGAUGGUUCUGUUUUACCUAGACUAAGUUUUUUUAUUUUUUUUCACUAAUCAAUAGGAAUUUAAUUGAUUGUUGUGUUUUUGGUUUUUUUUUUUUUAAUUUGAAAAUUUUUAAUUGUAUUGUUCAUAGGUUGAGUCCGGUUUUUCAUUUUUGUUGUCUGUUUUUAAUUUGCAGGUAGUACAUAUUGAAGGGGGAGAAAUUUAGACUGGAAACAAAGAAAAGAGGAGUAUUGUUUGCGAGUCUGGGUUUUGAGCGAUCAACUAGAAAAGGUUCAAGGUUGUUUAUAUGGAUGAGCCUAGCACUGGACUCGAUCCAGCUUCAAGACAUAAUCUAUACGGGCAAAACAAAGAAAAGAGGGAUCAUCCUAACAAAUAGCCAUAGACAGCGGAUAAUAAGUUGGAUUGAUGGCACAUGACAGCUAUCAGCUACAUUUGACUUCACAACCUAGGGAGUUCUUUAGGUAUCAUCCAUUUUCAAUCGGUCUGAGAUGUUUGACUCCCAGCUGACUGCUACACCCACAUAUGCACACAUAAAAUCUCUCUCUUGAGUGGACAUCUACAUUUGUUCUUGUUUUGACCAUUGGAUAUGAGUCCUGGCCAUUAUAACCAUUAGUAUCCAGUAAUUUAUGCCAAGUUUCCAAACAUUUUUGUUAUGAUUGUUUAUUUCUAUAUAAGAAACUAAAAUAGGCAACUAUUACAUGAAAAUAUCUUCUCAUCUAAGCACAUGAGUACCCCAAGUAUGCUUGGUCAUGUUAUAUUAGUUCAUUUCUACAAGACUGGCAUCUAAAUUGAGAUUUCCUUUUAACAUGUUAUGUUUGUUUCUCCCCUAUUUUGGUGAUAAUCAUGCAUGCUUCUGUGUAGGAAGCUGUCAAGGGACAAUUAUGGAGAUUAUGUGAUCCCCAAGGGAAGCCACCAGGUGUAAUACAGUAGUACAGCUAGCUAGUUCCUAUAUUUAACUUGUGUCUAGUAGAAAUUCUUCCUUCAUUAAGAAUGUGGACUUGUUUGCAGAUUCAAAUUAGUAGAUAUGGGCUAUUUUGAACUGAUGCUCAUGAUUAGGUUUGUGUACAUGAGACAAUGAUGGAUUAGUGGAAAUUGCAAUGAAUGAUUUUGGAUGUGGAUUUUAUGGUUUCA